rnacentral:misc_RNA from 1 species
GAUGAAGAACGUAGCGAAAUGCGAUACGUAGUGUGAAUUGUAGAAUUCAGUGAAUCAUCGAAUCUUUGAACGCACAUUGCGCCCGCCAGUAUUCUGGCGGGCAUGCCUGUUCGAGCGUCAUUUCAACCAUCAAGCCCCCGGCUUGUGUUGGGGACCUGCGGCUGCCGCAGGCCCUGAAAUGCAGUGGCGGGCUCGCUGUCACUCCGAGCGUAGUAGUUACAUCUCGCUCUGGGCGUGCUGCGGGUUCCGGCCGUUAAAAGCCUUAUUUACCCAAGGUUGACCUCGGAUCAGGUAGGAAGACCCGCUGAACUUAAGCAUAUCAAUAAGCGGAGGA